UACGUAGGGUGCAAGCGUUAAUCGGAAUUACUGGGCGUAAAGCGUGCGCAGGCGGUUGUGCAAGACAGAUGUGAAAUCCCCGGGCUCAACCUGGGAAUUGCAUUUGUGACUGCACGGCUAGAGUGUGUCAGAGGGGGGGUAGAAUUCCACGUGUAGCAGUGAAAUGCGUAGGUAUCAGAAGGAACAUCAGUGGCGAAGGCGGCUUCCUGGACCAAUACUGACGAUCAGGUGCGAAAGCGUGGGGAGCAAACAGG
rnacentral:rRNA from 1 species